rnacentral:rRNA from 1 species
UGGGGAAUCUUCCGCAAUGGACGAAAGUCUGACGGAGCAACGCCGCGUGAGUGAUGACGGUCUUCGGAUUGUAAAGCUCUGUUAAUCGGGACGAAUGGUUUGUGUGCAAAUAGUGCAUAGACAUGACGGUACCGGAAUAGAAAGCCACGGCUAACUACGUGCCAGCAGCCGCGGUAAUACGUAGGUGGCAAGCGUUGUCCGGAAUUAUUGGGCGUAAAGCGCGCGCAGGCGGACUAGCCAGUCAGUCUUAAAAGUUCGGGGCUUAACCCCGUGAUGGGAUUGAAACUACUAGUCUAGAGUAUCGGAGAGGAAAGUGGAAUUCCUAGUGUAGCGGUGAAAUGCGUAGAUAUUAGGAAGAACACCAGUGGCAAAGGCGACUUUCUGGACGAACACUGACGCUGAGGCGCGAAAGCCAGGGGAGCGAACGGG